GUAAGGAAAUGGAAAGACUUAGAAAAAAAGUGAACAAAGGAAAAGAAAUGUAUAUGUAUAUAUCACCCAAUCUGGAAGGAAUUGUUUUACGGUUAAUAAUCAUAGAGGUCCUAAGCACUGUAGACUAGAUUGACAAUGUACAUCAAGGGGAAGAUUUUUUUUUUGAAAAAAAAAGAAGAAAGCAAUGGGGGUGGGUUGAGAGGUUAGGGGAAAGGAAGGA